UACGUAGGGGGCAAGCGUUGUCCGGAUUUAUUGGGCGUAAAGAGCGUGUAGGCGGUCAGGUAGGUCCGUUGUGAAAACUCGAGGCUCAACCUCGAGACGCCGAUGGAAACCAUCUGACUAGAGUCCGGAAGAGGAGAGUGGAAUUCCUGGUGUAGCGGUGGAAUGCGCAGAUAUCAGGAGGAACACCGGUGGCGAAGGCGGGUCUCUGGGCAGUAACUGACGCUGAGGAGCGAAAAGCGUGGGGGAGCGAACAGG
rnacentral:rRNA from 1 species